ACCAACUCGAACGCAUUCAACUGCUGUUCAGCGUACAUGGGCCAAGCGGCUAUCGGGACCCCGAAACACAAGCUUUCUAGUACAGAAUUCCAUCCACAAUGAGAUACAAAUCCACCCACUGCGGGAUGAGACAGUAUUGCCACUUGAGGUGCCCAUCCUAUCACUUUCCCAACCCCAUUUGUCCUUUCAAUAAACCCUUGUGGUAGCACUUGCUGAAAAUCCUCGUAAUUACUAGGCAGCUCGAGUUUCCCCUUUGGUGGAGGUCUUCGUAAGGACCAUAAGAACCUGUGACCGCUACAUUCUAGUGCAACUGCUAUUUCUUUGAUCUGUUGAGUAUCAAAGCUUCCCAUGCUGCCGAAGCACAAAAACACCACAGAUGACU
rnacentral:lncRNA from 1 species